AUGGGCGUGACCAAGGAGGACGUGGAGGCCGCCGUCGCCGCCGCGCUCAGCCCUACCCACCUCGUGGUCACCGAUACAUCCGGCGGGUGCGGCGCGAGCUACGAGAUCGAGGUGGUGUCGGACAAGUUCGAGGGGAAGCGGCUGCUGGAGCGCCACCGGAUGGUCAACACCGCGCUGGCGCCGCUCAUGGCCGAGAUCCACGCCGUCUCCAUCAAGGCGCUCACCCCCGCGCAGGCCCAGCCCAAGUCGGAGCCGGCCGCCGCCGACAAGGCGCAGGCCUGA
rnacentral:rRNA from 1 species